rfam:Stegodyphus mimosarum contig6081, whole genome shotgun sequence.
AUAAUGGCUCUUUUCAGAGCCACACACUGUGUGUGUAAUGCAAUG